GGAGAGGUGCCGGAGCGGACGAACGGGGCGGACUCGAAAUCCGUUGGGGGUUUUUCCUCCUCGUGGGUUCAAAUCCCACCCUCUCCGCCA
rnacentral:tRNA from 1 species